rnacentral:rRNA from 1 species
CUUGCUGGGUGGAUUAGUGGCGAACGGGUGAGUAACACGUGAGUAACCUGCCCUUGACUCUGGGAUAAGCACUGGAAACGGUGUCUAAUACCGGAUAUAUCAGCUGGCCGCAUGGUCUGGUUGUGGAAAGAAUUUUGGUCAAGGAUGGACUCGCGGCCUAUCAGGUAGUUGGUGAGGUAAUGGCUCACCAAGCCUACGACGGGUAGCCGGCCUGAGAGGGUGACCGGCCACACUGGGACUGAGACACGGCCCAGACUCCUACGGGAGGCAGCAGUGGGGAAUAUUGCACAAUGGGCGAAAGCCUGAUGCAGCAACGCCGCGUGAGGGAUGACGGCCUUCGGGUUGUAAACCUCUUUUAGUAGGGAAGAAGCGAAAGUGACGGUACCUGCAGAAAAAGCACCGGCUAACUACGUGCCAGCAGCCGCGGUAAUACGUAGGGUGCAAGCGUUGUCCGGAAUUAUUGGGCGUAAAGAGCUCGUAGGCGGUUUGUCGCGUCUGCUGUGAAAACUGGAGGCUCAACCUCCAGCCUGCAGUGGGUACGGGCAGACUAGAGUGCGGUAGGGGAGAUUGGAAUUCCUGGUGUAGCGGUGGAAUGCGCAGAUAUCAGGAGGAACACCGAUGGCGAAGGCAGAUCUCUGGGCCGUAACUGACG